rnacentral:rRNA from 1 species
AGAGUUUGAUCCUGGCUCAGGAUGAACGCUGGCGGUGUGCCUUAUACAUGCAAGUCGAACGAUGAAGCAGAGCUUGCUCUGUGGAUUAGUGGCAAACGGGUGAGUAAUAGAUAGGUAACCUUCCUUGAAGAUGGGGAUAUACGGUAGAAAUACCGGGCAAUACCCAAUAAUGUCAUUUCCCUUAAGGGUUAUGAAGAAAGAUGCAAAUCGCUUUGAGACGGACUUAUCUCCUAUCAGCUAGUUGGUGAGGUAAUGGCUCACCAAGGCUACGACGGGUAGCUGGUCUGAGAGGACGGUCAGCCACAUUGGGACUGAGACACGGCCCAGACUCCUACGGGAGGCAGCAGUCGGGAAUAUUCGGCAAUGGGCGAAAGCCUGACCGAGCGACACCGCGUGAAUGACGAAGGCCUUCGGGUCGUAAAAUUCUUUUACUUGGGAAGAACGCAUAGCAAUAUGUUUGACGGUACCAAGUGAAUAAGCCCCAGCUAACUACGUGCCAGCAGCUGCGGUAAUACGUAGGGGGCGAGCGUUAUCCGGAAUCACUGGGCGUAAAGGGUCCGUAGGCGUCCUGUUAAGUUAGGAGUUAAAUCGCAAGGCUCAACCUUGCGGCUGCUCCUAAUACUGGCAGGAUAGAGGGUAGGAGACGGAAGUGGAAUUCCUGGUGGAGAGGUAAAAUCCGUAGAUAUCAGGAGGAACACCUGUGGCGUAGGCGGCUUCCGAGUCUACUCCUGACGCUGAUGGACGAAAGCUAGGGGAGCAAACAGGAUUAGAUACCCUGGUAGUCCUAGCUGUAAACGAUGAAUACUUGGUAGUGGAUUGUACACACUUUUCACCGCCGAAGCUAACGCGUUAAGUAUUCCGCCUGGGAAGUACGGCCGCAAGGUUGAAACUCAAAGGAAUUGACGGGUCCCCGCACAAGCAGCGAGCAUGUGGAUUAAUUCGAUGCAACACGAAGAACCUUACCUGGGCUUGACAUGUUUUGGAAAGCCGUAUGAAAGUAUGGCCCUUUUAGGUUUACCUAAAACCGAUUCACAGGUGGUGCAUGGUUGUCGUCAGCUCGUGUCGAGAGAUGUAAGGUUAAGUCCUUAAACGAGCGCAACCUCUGUCGCUAGUUGCCACCAGUUCGGCUGAGCACUCUAGCGAGACCGCUAGCGAUAAGCUAGAGGAAGAUGGAGAUGACGUCAAAUCCUCACGUCCCUUAUGUCCAGGGCUUCACACAUGCGACAAUGGUAGAGACAGCAGGUUGCGACGAGGUAACUCUGAGCUAAUCCUUAAACUCUGCCUCAGUACAGAUCGAGGGCUGAAAUUCGGCCUCGUGAAGAUGGAGUUGCUAGUAAACGCAGGUCAGCUAUACUGCGUUGAAUACGUUCCCGGGGAUUGUACACACCGCCCGUCACACCACCCGAGUCGUGUGCACCCGAAGUCGGAUACCCCAACCUUUUAGGAGGGUACUGCCGAAGGUGUGCUCGGUAAGGAGGGUGAAGUCGGAACAAGGCA